rnacentral:rRNA from 1 species
CGGUAAUUCCAGCUCCAAUAGCGUAUACUAAAGUUGUUGCAGUUAAAAAGCUCGUAGUUGGAUUUCUGCGCGGGUGGGGCGUCCGCCGGCCUCAGGUCGGGUUGGGCAGCAACGCCCAUGCAUCCUGCUGCGAUCCGCGCUACCAUUCGUUUGGUGGCGUCGGGGACCAGCUCGAUUACUUUGAGAAAAUUUGAGUGUUCAAAGCAGGCAAUUGCCUUGAAAAUUCUAGCAUGGACUAAUGGUUAAGGACUUUGGUUCUAUUUCAUUGGCUUUCGGAACCGAAGUAAUGAUUGAUAGGGACAGUUGGGGGCGUCUGUAUUCUGAAGCGAGAGGUGAAAUUCUUAGACCUUCGGAAGACAAACAGCUGCGAAAGCGUUCGCCAAGGAUGUUCCCUUUGAUCAAGAACGAGAGUUGGGGGAUCGAAGACGAUCAGAUACCGUCGUAGUCUCAACUAUAAACUAUACCAGCUAGGGAUCGGCCAACGUUGAUCUACAAAGACUUGGUCGGCACCUUAUGAGAAAUCAAUAGCAUUUGGGUUCCGGGGGGAGUAUGGUCGCAAGGCUGAAACUUAAAGGAAUUGACGGAAGGGCACCACCAGGCGUGGAGCCUGUGGCUUAAUUUGACUCAACACGGGGAAACUUACCAGGUCCAGACAUAGGAAGGAUUGACAGAUUGACAGCUCUUUCUUGAUUCUAUGGGUGGUGGUGCAUGGCCGUUCUUAGUUGGUGGAGUGAUUUGUCUGGUUAAUUCCGUUAACGAACGAGACCCCAACCUGCUAAAUAGCGCGCGUGGCUCCUGGCCGCGGCGAGCUUCUUAGAGGGACUACGGUUCGCCAUAGACCGGGGAAGUUUGGGGCAAUAACAGGUCUGUGAUGCCCUUAGAUGUUCUGGGCCGCACACGGGCUACACUGACGCGUGCAACGAGCAUAUCAGCUGGCCCGAGAGGGCAUGGGCUAAUCUUUUGAACUCGCGUCGUGCUAGGGAUUGACCAUUGCAAUUGUUGGUCAUGCAACGAGGAAUGCCUUGUAAACGCGAGUCAUCAACUCGCAUUGAAUACGUCCCUGCCCCUUGUACACACCGCCC